UCUCUGCAGAGUGAACGGCCCAUGCUGCUCCUGACGCAGCCUUGAGAGACUUUGCUGUUAGAAGUUUACUGGUUGCAGUUCUUAGGACUACUCCUUCCUGUGAUUUGUGUGAAGACAGUUUAGGUUGAGUUGCCCAAGAGAAAGUCACUGGAUGUGAUGUGACCUGCUCUGAAGAGGUUUCGAAAAGUGAUAUGCACAAAAUAUGUUAGUUUCCUGCAGUUACUGAGGCAGAAAACUUGAUGUCUGACCACAAGCACUGGAGGAUUGCCGUGGCACAAUCUGAGGAAUUCUUGCCUUCAGGAAAGAAAGGAACCCUGGUACCGUGUUAUGUGCUGCACGCCAUGAAGGUAUCCAGUGUACAGAGUUGAAGAUAUUCACAAAGCAAGGAAGGAGGUGUUUGUUGCAGCAGAUUCUGCAGAGUUAAUACAGGGAUUUUCCAGCUAAAAAUCUGGAGGUUGCACAAGUUGGUGGUGGAGUGACUCUUCAGUGCAAGGACAGACUGAGAGAGAAAAUGGAGACCUGCUCUAUUUACAAAGAACUGUUGAAGGCACGAAGUGUGGACCUCUGGCCCUAUGGAAAAGAGGUACUCCAGGCCUGGUGAAAAGAGUACAAUAUAUUCUGCUGACAAAGGCUGAAGCCUCAUUUCUGCUCCUGCAUUUCCCUGGAUGUCAAGAACUUGCAGCUGACUUUUAUAUGGGAACAUCUUUUGGAUCGUACCCUUGGAUUACACCCAUGAAUGGAAAGGCAAUAGAUCCUACCCACGCCUAAACUCUCACUCAAGGCGAAGAGGAAAUCUGUGCCAAAGAAAGCGAGCUGCAGUAGGAAAGUGUUCUUUGCAGCUGUGUGCUGAGUGGAUGUGUAAAGAGGUAAUGCUUCAAUUGCAAGGCAGAGGAAAAGGGAACACUGUUUUCACAGCAGAUAUUUUCCAGCCCACUGAUGUAAAACCCCCUUGUUUCCUUAUUAGAGGAUACGACGCAGACUCUUCCACAGUUGCAGAGACCCUAGGCAAAGCGAAUGUUCACAUGCAUGCGAUGAAGCUGCAUCACAACAGCUGCAGGUUUAAGCAGUCCUUUCUGCUCUUGCAUUGUGGAAGUCAUCCUGCUGCGCAGCACUGUGAUUGAGAGACGCUGAUCCACCCGAUCUGCUCCUGGUUGAUGGGUACUUGUGAAAAUUGACCCACUGAGCCGUCUUCAAGAGGCAUAGGAGGAAAUGUAUUUGCUCUCCUUUCGAUUGCUGAAGACAAGGUUAUAGUGAUAAAGGAAAAAUAAUGAAAGCAAAGUAAAAGUGUGGAGUCUCUGCUGACUAUGUGAGCUGGCUGCUACAAACCUGGACUGCAGCUAGGAGGAGGGCUGGACAUAUAAUUCCCUGCUGUUUUUUUCUUAGUCUUUCACAAGAUGUCUCAGAUGAAACAGGAAAGAAACUGGAAACCUCAAAUGCCACAGUGUGGUUCAGAUUAUGUUAUCUAUUCACUGUGAAAACCCUGCUUCUGCAUGGGCUCAUAAUCACAAGUGAGCCAGUGUUCAUACAUGUAUUAUUAAUGCAACUGUGGAUUUAAGUACUAUCGAUAGUGUGGGGGGACGCAGUAAUAGGGGUGACUUUCAUGCAAAUGGUGUGAAAAGCACAGCUUCUUAGACAUAUAAACCAAUCAGAAAAUACCACUGCACAUAUUUCAUCAUUACAAACACUAAUAUUCAUCAUCUCUGUCAUUAUGCAACAGGCCUUUAGUAGUAGACCCAAUGGCACAAAUAAGGUGGAACUAAUGCCUGUUGUAUACAAAAUGCAGCUUCAAGUACAGGUAGCCUAGGCUAGACUCCUACUCACAUUGCUCUGAAAGUAACAGUCUGGAAUGAAAGCUCUUGAAAAAAACCCUGAAAUCAAUGCUUUUCAACUCGCUGGGAGUUGCUUAAAAUGCAUGUGUUAGUUCUGGUCUAAAAGAUUUAGGGAGUUGCUUCUGAUGGGAAAAAUAGCGUACAGAAAACCCAAAAUGCCUUAAUUCUUUCAUGUAGACAACUGUCAAGGUUCAGGCAUGAGAGCAAGUUUUAUUGCUUUGAUCUUCAGUUCAGUAAGGGCAGAAAUGCCAUUCAGCUGCCAUCUGAAUUGCUAAACUUUGGUUUGAUUUCCAAGUCAUCCCUAAAUCCAGUCCAAAUUGUCCUCUGGAUUUUAUCACUCUCACUGAACAAAUCAUUUAGAAGUCUACUGUUGAUAGGUUUCCAACACUCUCCUAUUCAAAGCAUUUGACUUCAGUGCAUCCCAGGACAGGAAUGGCGUAGAACCUGACCUUGAGAGGAUUCAAAGGCAUGCAUUUCUUUUUUUUUUAUUAAUGAGAGAUUAUUGCUGCCAGCAUUUCUGAGGUUGCAUUCAGAGCAAUCUAUGUUGAUAGCCCACUUAAAAAUACAAAACACGUAGUUCCAAAACAUCCACUGUUGCCCUACAAAGUCAUUUGUUGUUUUACGUAUUUUAUGCAUAGAUGAUAGUACAUUUACUUGGUUACAUUUUUUACGUAACCAGCUCCCUUCUGUAAAGAAUAAGCUUUCAGGCAUUCAAAGAUUCUGUUUUCAAGAGGGUCAGGAGCCUUUCUGGUGUUCUAAAUUUUCAGUAAAUGAGAUAUUUGGUAAAGUAAGAUCUCUGCUUUGUUUCUAUACUUGUUGACAGCCUUGUGUCACAAGCUUUGCAAGAGAUCUACCCCCACCAUCAGAUGAUAAACUGAUUCCUCAAGGACUUAGUGCCUCACUAGGGAAUGCUUGGAACUGGCCUUCUCUUCCUUUUGGAGUUUCUAUCACAAGCUUUUGUCUGUGUUUGGUUUGUCAUUUCUGACUGCUUUCCUAUGUGAUAUGUAUCAACAGACAUAGCAGGAAAGUUAUUUACAGCCAACAAAUUGUCUUCAGCUUUAUGAUUCCAGUUGUAUAAAG